GUGCUCAUUUUGGCAGAACAUACACUAAAACUGGAACAUUAAAGAGAUUAGAAUGACCCGCAGCACAAGGGUGACAUGCAAACUCAUGAAGCAUUCCAUUUUAUC